rnacentral:rRNA from 1 species
AUUGAACGCUGGCGGCAUGCCUUACACAUGCAAGUCGAACGGUAACAGGUCUUCGGAUGCUGACGAGUGGCGAACGGGUGAGUAAUACAUCGGAACGUGCCCGAUCGUGGGGGAUAACGCAGCGAAAGCUGUGCUAAUACCGCAUACGAUCUACGGAUGAAAGCGGGGGAUCGCAAGACCUCGCGCGGACGGAGCGGCCGAUGGCAGAUUAGGUAGUUGGUGGGAUAAAAGCUUACCAAGCCGACGAUCUGUAGCUGGUCUGAGAGGACGACCAGCCACACUGGGACUGAGACACGGCCCAGACUCCUACGGGAGGCAGCAGUGGGGAAUUUUGGACAAUGGGCGCAAGCCUGAUCCAGCCAUGCCGCGUGCAGGAUGAAGGCCUUCGGGUUGUAAACUAGCUUUUCCUACGGGAGAGAACUUAACGCACGUGUUGCGUGACUGACGGUACCCUCGGGAAUAAGCAUCGGCUAACUCCGUGCC